UGAACGCUGGCGGCAUGCCUUACACAUGCAAGUCGAACGGCAGCACGGGUGCUUGCACCUGGUGGCGAGUGGCGAACGGGUGAGUAAUACAUCGGAACAUGUCCUGUAGUGGGGGAUAGCCCGGCGAAAGCCGGAUUAAUACCGCAUACGAUCUACGGAUGAAAGCGGGGGACCUUCGGGCCUCGCGCUAUAGGGUUGGCCGAUGGCUGAUUAGCUAGUUGGUGGGGUAAAGGCCUACCAAGGCGACGAUCAGUAGCUGGUCUGAGAGGACGACCAGCCACACUGGGACUGAGACACGGCCCAGACUCCUACGGGAGGCAGCAGUGGGGAAUUUUGGACAAUGGGCGAAAGCCUGAUCCAGCAAUGCCGCGUGUGUGAAGAAGGCCUUCGGGUUGUAAAGCACUUUUGUCCGGAAAGAAAUCCUUGGCUCUAAUACAGUCGGGGGAUGACGGUACCGGAAGAAUAAGCACCGGCUAACUACGUGCCAGCAGCCGCGGUAAUACGUAGGGUGCGAGCGUUAAUCGGAAUUACUGGGCGUAAAGCGUGCGCAGGCGGUUUGCUAAGACCGAUGUGAAAUCCCCGGGCUCAACCUGGGAACUGCAUUGGUGACUGGCAGGCUAGAGUAUGGCAGAGGGGGGUAGAAUUCCACGUGUAGCAGUGAAAUGCGUAGAGAUGUGGAGGAAUACCGAUGGCGAAGGCAGCCCCCUGGGCCAAUACUGACGCUCAUGCACGAAAGCGUGGGGAGCAAACAGGAUUAGAUACCCUGGUAGUCCACGCCCUAAACGAUGUCAACUAGUUGUUGGGGAUUCAUUUCCUUAGUAACGUAGCUAACGCGUGAAGUUGACCGCCUGGGGAGUACGGUCGCAAGAUUAAAACUCAAAGGAAUUGACGGGGACCCGCACAAGCGGUGGAUGAUGUGGAUUAAUUCGAUGCAACGCGAAAAACCUUACCUACCCUUGACAUGGUCGGAAUCCUGCUGAGAGGCGGGAGUGCUCGAAAGAGAACCGGCGCACAGGUGCUGCACGGCUGUCGUCAGCUCGUGUCGUGAGAUGUUGGGUUAAGUCCCGCAACGAGCGCAACCCUUGUCCUUAGUUGCUACGCAAGAGCACUCUAAGGAGACUGCCGGUGACAAACCGGAGGAAGGUGGGGAUGACGUCAAGUCCUCAUGGCCCUUAUGGGUAGGGCUUCACACGUCAUACAAUGGUCGGAACAGAGGGUUGCCAACCCGCGAGGGGGAGCUAAUCCCAGAAAACCGAUCGUAGUCCGGAUUGCACUCUGCAACUCGAGUGCAUGAAGCUGGAAUCGCUAGUAAUCGCGGAUCAGCAUGCCGCGGUGAAUGCGUUCCCGGGUCUUGUACACACCGCC
rnacentral:rRNA from 1 species